rnacentral:rRNA from 1 species
ACGUAGGGGGCAAGCGUUGUCCGGAAUUAUUGGGCGUAAAGCGCGCGCAGGCGGCUCGUUAAGUCUGGUGUUUAAACCUGGGGCUCAACCCCGGGUCGCAUCGGAAACUGGCGGGCUGGAGUGUAGGAGAGGGAAGUGGAAUUCCUGGUGUAGCGGUGAAAUGCGCAGAUAUCAGGAAGAACACCAAUGGCGAAAGCAGCUCUCUGGGACGGUACUGACGCUGAGACGCGAAAGCGUGGGGAGCGAACAGGA